rnacentral:rRNA from 1 species
UACGAAGGGGGCUAGCGUUGCUCGGAUUGACUGGGCGUAAAGGGCGCGUAGGCGGGCCGCCAAGUUCGAGGUGAAAUCCUCCGGCUCAACCGGAGAACUGCCUCGAAUACUGGAGGCCUCGAGGCGGGUAGGGGCACGCGGAACUGUGGGUGGAGCGGUGAAAUGCGUUGAUAUCCACAGGAACUCCGGUGGCGAAGGCGGCGUGCUGGACCCGAUCUGACGCUGAGGCGCGAAAGCCAGGGGAGCAAACGGG